rnacentral:tRNA from 3 species
GCAUCCGUGGCUCAGCUGGAUAGAGUACUCGGCUACGAACCGAGCGGUCGGAGGUUCGAAUCCUCCCGGAUGCACCA